CCUACGGGUGGCAGCAGUGGGCAAUAUUGCGCAAUGGGCGAAAGCCUGACGCAGCGACGCCGCGUGAGGGAUGAAGGUCUUCGGAUCGUAAACCUCUGUCAGCAGGGAAGAACGGUCACUGUGCUAAUCAGCAGUGAAUUGACGGUACCUGCAAAGGAAGCACCGGCUAACUCCGUGCCAGCAGCCGCGGUAAUACGGAGGGUGCGAGCGUUAAUCGGAAUUACUGGGCGUAAAGCGCUCGUAGGCGGUAUGUCAAGUCAAGGGGGAAAUCCCCGCGCUCAACGUGGGAACUGCCUUUGAAACUGGCAAACUGGAGUGUGUGAGAGGAUAGUGGAAGUCCAGGUGUAGGAGUGAAAUCCGUAGAUAUCUGGAGGAACAUCAGUGGCGAAGGCGACUAUCUGGCACAUAACUGACGCUGAGGAGCGAAAGCGUGGGUAGCAAACAGGAUUAGAUACCCCAGUAGUC
rnacentral:rRNA from 1 species